AUGUAUCUGAUCAGCACAAGCCAAAGAUUGCCCACAUGCGGCCGGGGAGCCUUGGGGCCGGCGGUGUGUGAGUGGCACAAACCCCCGCAGAGGGAGGGUUCUCGUUCAGCAGGUUCACUUCUGAGAAUCCACCAAAGUGAGGUCAAAAGCAGCGCUCGAAAACUUGAGUUCCAUGCUGUUUGCCUCCAAGUGCCUCCCAAGGAGAAAGCUGGUCAAUUCAUCGUGGCAGGUACAGACAACGGGACAGGUACAGACAAUGGGACAUCUAAGGACAAGGGGACAGGUACAGACAAUGGCCCAGGUAAGGACAAUGGGACAGGUAAGGACAACGGGACAGGUGUGGAGAACGGGACAUCUAAGGACAACGGGACAGGUACGGACAAUGGGACAGGUACUGUGACAAUGGGACAGGUACAGACAAUGGGACAUCUAAGGACAAUGGGACAGGUACUGUGACAAUGGGACAGGUACAGACAACGGGACAGGUGUGGAGAACGGGACAGGUGUGGACAGCAGGACACGAUGCCAGUGAGGAAAAGGGCACAGAGUUCUUCUGAACGACACGAGACGGUCUCCAAGAAACAGAAUUAAGCUGGAAAGAACAGUGCACCACCCAAGUGUGGGCUGCGGUGUCUAUUUCCCUCCAAAGAGAACAGGAUGCAAAGGGGAGAAAGAGGAACCUGAGCUCUGCAUGCUCAGGAAUCCGGGGGGAUGGGCAGAGCCCUGGGACUCGGCUGGGCGGCCAACAGUGCGCCGGCAACCUGGCCAUCGCUCAAGUUCCUUUGUGGUGACCCAGUCAGGAGCACAGUGUCUGGGGAGCUGGACCAGAGCAGUCCGGAGGGCGAACAGCCAACCCCACAUCACCAACGUGCACCUUCCUGGGGUCCUUUCACUGUAAACCCACAGCGAAGCAUCCUGGGAAAAUCUCAGAACCUCGGCAAAUCCGUGCACACGUGGCCCUCAUGCCAGACCUCCGAGAGGCCGAGACUCCUGCUCAGAUCCCAUCCACCCUCUCACCGAGCCGCCUCCCCCGCAACUGGCUGGGGCUACCGGCAGGCCGGGAGCAGGAGAAGCCCUGGCGGCCUCGCUCUGCAGGACGUUAGUCUCAUGAGAGGAGCAAAUGAAGCCGGAUGCCCACUGCCCAGGG
rnacentral:lncRNA from 1 species